rnacentral:rRNA from 1 species
GUUUGAUCCUGGCUCAGGACGAACGCUGGCGGCGUGCUUAACACAUGCAAGUCGAACGAUGAAGCCGCUUCGGUGGUGGAUUAGUGGCGAACGGGUGAGUAACACGUGGGCAAUCUGCCCUGCACUCUGGGACAAGCCCUGGAAACGGGGUCUAAUACCGGAUAUGACUACUGAUCGCAUGGUUGGUGGUGGAAAGCUCCGGCGGUGCAGGAUGAGCCCGCGGCCUAUCAGCUUGUUGGUGGGGUGAUGGCCUACCAAGGCGACGACGGGUAGCCGGCCUGAGAGGGCGACCGGCCACACUGGGACUGAGACACGGCCCAGACUCCUACGGGAGGCAGCAGUGGGGAAUAUUGCACAAUGGGCGAAAGCCUGAUGCAGCGACGCCGCGUGAGGGAUGACGGCCUUCGGGUUGUAAACCUCUUUCAGCAGGGAAGAAGCGAGAGUGACGGUACCUGCAGAAGAAGCGCCGGCUAACUACGUGCCAGCAGCCGCGGUAAUACGUAGGGCGCGAGCGUUGUCCGGAAUUAUUGGGCGUAAAGAGCUCGUAGGCGGCUUGUCACGUCGGAUGUGAAAGCCCGGGGCUUAACCCCGGGUCUGCAUUCGAUACGGGCAGGCUAGAGUUCGGUAGGGGAGAUCGGAAUUCCUGGUGUAGCGGUGAAAUGCGCAGAUAUCAGGAGGAACA